ACACAUGCAAGUCGAGGGGCAGCAUCAUCAAAGCUUGCUUUGAUGGAUGGCGACCGGCGCACGGGUGAGUAACACGUAUCCAACCUGCCGACAACACUGGGAUAGCCUUUCGAAAGAAAGAUUAAUACCGGAUGGCAUAAUUAUUCCGCAUGGGAUAAUUAUUAAAGAAUUUCGGUUGUCGAUGGGGAUGCGUUCCAUUAGGCAGUUGGCGGGGUAACGGCCCACCAAACCUACGAUGGAUAGGGGUUCUGAGAGGAAGGUCCCCCACAUUGGAACCGAGACACGGUCCAAACUCCUACGGGAGGCAGCAGUGAGGAAUAUUGGUCAAUGGACGAGAGUCUGAACCAGCCAAGUAGCGUGAAGGAUGACUGCCCUAUGGGUUGUAAACUUCUUUUAUACGGGAAUAAAGUUAGCCACGUGUGGCUUUUUGUAUGUACCGUAUGAAUAAGGAUCGGCUAACUCCGUGCCAGCAGCCGCGGUAAUACGGAGGAUCCGAGCGUUAUCCGGAUUUAUUGGGUUUAAAGGGAGCGUAGGCGGGUUGUUAAGUCAGUUGUGAAAGUUUGCGGCUCAACCGUAAAAUUGCAGUUGAUACUGGCGACCUUGAGUGCAACAGAGGUAGGCGGAAUUCGUGGUGUAGCGGUGAAAUGCUUAGAUAUCACGAAGAACUCCGAUUGCGAAGGCAGCUUACUGGAUUGUAACUGACGCUGAUGCUCGAAAGUGUGGGUAUCAAACAGGAUUAGAUACCCUGGUAGUCCACACAGUAAACGAUGAAUACUCGCUGUUGGCGAUAUACGGUCAGCGGCCA
rnacentral:rRNA from 1 species